rnacentral:rRNA from 1 species
UACAGAGGAUGCAAGCGUUAUCCGGAAUGAUUGGGCGUAAAGCGUCUGUAGGUGGCUUUUUAAGUCCGCCGUCAAAUCCCAGGGCUCAACUCUGGACAGGCGGUGGAAACUACCAAGCUGGAGUACGGUAGGGGCAGAGGGAAUUUCCGGUGGAGCGGUGAAAUGCGUAGAGAUCGGAAAGAACACCAACGGCGAAGGCAGCGUCCUGGCAAGUCACUGACGCUCAGGUGCGAAAGCUAGGGGAGCGAACGGG